AACAUCUGGAUACAGGAACGCUGGGAUCAUCAUCAUUAACCACUGAAAUUGAGCAGUUCAGUUGUUCUGAUGUAAGAUUUGUGAUUGCGGUGAACAACAUGGCUGAAAAACGCAUCGCUAUAUAAGCACUUCCUAUGAAUCAAAAGGUUUAUGUCACAAAACUGGCAUGGAAACACUUUUGCAUCAAGAAUCAUGUCAACACCUGAUCUUACUACUGCAGAAACGACAAAUAUGACAACAGGAAGUGCAGCGGGCUCCGUGGACUCGUCGCUCCGUGGACAGCACAGAGGUGUUUGAGGGAAUCUGCGAGACAGAGGCAAAUUUCAUGCAUGAUUUGAAGCCAAACUGCUGAACGAGUGUCGUGGUUUCAGCACUGAUUCACAGCCAAGUGUGUUGUGCCUGGACAGCUUUUGUUCCAAUGAAUAUACAUGCAGACACAGACGUUCAGCAGGAUCACAACCAGCAGCGCUCGUGAUCCUCUGCAUGUUGACUUGUGCAGGGAGAGAGCAGCUGGAGCAUCUGCAGUUGUCUCCUCUGACAGCAGCACAGCAUAUGGCAGAGCCCGGUGAAGGAUGGGUGCUGUCACCCGGCAAAGUGCUUACCCACCGACAGGAGAGGCGAGCCGCGCUAACACCAUGAGGAGAAGGAAGAAACAGCUGAACAUCAGCACCCGACUCAUUUAUUCUCCUCCCACCGCCUCGUUCUAGGAGGGACAGGCUGGAGGAAAGGACUUCCA